CGACCGGCGCACGGGUGAGUAACGCGUGGAAAACCUGCCGUAUACUGGGGGAUAACACUUAGAAAUAGGUGCUAAUACCGCAUAAGCGCACAGCUUCGCAUGAAGCGGUGUGAAAAACUCUGGUGGUAUACGAUGGUUCCGCGUCUGAUUAGCUAGUUGGUGGGGUAAUGGCCUACCAAGGCAACGAUCAGUAGCCGGCCUGAGAGGGUGAACGGCCACAUUGGGACUGAGACACGGCCCAAACUCCUACGGAAGGCAGCAG
rnacentral:rRNA from 1 species